rnacentral:rRNA from 1 species
GGGUGUACCUAAAGUCGGUAACCGACGAAGGACGCCCGCCGUAAGGUAAACUAGUAACUGGGGCU